GAGUAGGCAUCUUUUAAUUUCAUGGCUGCAGUCACGAUCUGCAGUGAUUUUGGAGCCCAAAAAAAUAAAGUCUGACACUGUUUCCCCAGAUAUUUACUUUAGUAUUUUUUAAAACAUUACUAGCCACUAAUUUUGAAUGCUUCAUACCCUUUAAAACACAAUUUAUCAUUCUGUGUCUAGAUUUUAUUCUGCUUCACUUUUCUACCUGGCUGUUCAUUAAUACCAUUCUGUUUUAGAAAGUCUUAACAGUAAAUGUUUUACUACCUAGUAGGGAGAUCCAUCCUUCAUCUUCUUUUUCAAGACUGCCUUAACUAUUCUCUGGAAUUGAACUGAGUCCAUGCACCACAACCUGUGAAGCCUGCAUGCCUGGAGCCUGCACUCUACAAGAGAAGCCACUGAAAUGAGAAGUCUGUGCACUGCAACUAGAGAGCAG